rnacentral:tRNA from 1 species
GUGGUAGUUCAGUUGGUUAGAAUACCGGCCUGUCACGCCGGGGGUCGCGGGUUCGAGCCCCGUCCACUCCG